GAUGAACGCUGGCGGCGUGCCUAAUACAUGCAAGUCGAGCGAACAGACGAGGAGCUUGCUCCUCUGACGUUAGCGGCGGACGGGUGAGUAACACGUGGAUAACCUACCUAUAAGACUGGGAUAACUUCGGGAAACCGGUGCUAAUACCGGAUAACAUGUUGAACCGCAUGGUUCAACAGUGAAAGACGGUUUUGCUGUCACUUAUAGAUGGAUCCGCGUCGCAUUAGCUAGUUGGUAAGGUAACGGCUUACCAAGGCAACGAUGCGUAGCCGACCUGAGAGGGUGAUCGGCCACACUGGAACUGAGACACGGUCCAGACUCCUACGGGAGGCAGCAGUAGGGAAUAUUCCGCAAUGGGCGAAAGCCUGACGGAGCAACGCCGCGUGAGUGAAGAAGGUCUUCGGAUCGUAAAACUCUGUUAUUAGGGAAGAACAAAUGUGUAAGUAAAUAUGCACGUCUUGACGGUACCUAAUCAGAAAGCAACGGCUAACUACGUG
rnacentral:rRNA from 1 species